rnacentral:rRNA from 1 species
AGCGAACGCUGGCGGCAGGCCUAACACAUGCAAGUCGAGCGCCCCGCAAGGGGAGCGGCAGACGGGAGAGUAACACGUGGGAACGUACCCUUCAGUUCGGAACAACCCAGGGAAACUUGGGCUAAUACCGGAUACGCCCGAAAGGGGAAAGAUUCAUCGCUGAAGGAUCGGCCCGCGUCUGAUUAGCUAGUUGGCGGGGUAAUGGCCCACCAAGGCGACGAUCAGUAGCUGGUCUGAGAGGAUGAUCAGCCUCACUGGGACUGAGUCACGGCCCAGACUCCUACGGGAGGCAGCAGUGGGGAAUUGUGCGCAAUGGGCGAAAGCCUGAUCCAGCCAUGCCGCGUGGAUGAUGAAGGCCCUAGGGUUGUAAAGUCCUUUCGGCGGGGAAGAUAAUGACGGUACCCGCAGAAGAAGCCCCGGCUAACUUCGUGCCAGCAGCCGCCGCUGUAA